UACGGAGGGAGCUAGCGUUAUUCGGAAUUACUGGGCGUAAAGCGCACGUAGGCGGCUUUGUAAGUUAGAGGUGAAAGCCUGGAGCUCAACUCCAGAAUUGCCUUUAAGACUGCAUCGCUUGAAUCCAGGAGAGGUGAGUGGAAUUCCGAGUGUAGAGGUGAAAUUCGUAGAUAUUCGGAAGAACACCAGUGGCGAAGGCGGCUCACUGGACGAUGACUGACGCUGAGACGCGAAAGCGUGGGGAGCAAACAGG
rnacentral:rRNA from 1 species